GCAGGCCUAACACAUGCAAGUCGAGCGGAUGAGAAGAGCUUGCUCUUCGAUUCAGCGGCGGACGGGUGAGUAAUGCCUAGGAAUCUGCCUGGUAGUGGGGGACAACGUUUCGAAAGGAACGCUAAUACCGCAUACGUCCUACGGGAGAAAGCAGGGGACCUUCGGGCCUUGCGCUAUCAGAUGAGCCUAGGUCGGAUUAGCUAGUUGGUGAGGUAAUGGCUCACCAAGGCGACGAUCCGUAACUGGUCUGAGAGGAUGAUCAGUCACACUGGAACUGAGACACGGUCCAGACUCCUACGGGAGGCAGCAGUGGGGAAUAUUGGACAAUGGGCGAAAGCCUGAUCCAGCCAUGCCGCGUGUGUGAAGAAGGUCUUCGGAUUGUAAAGCACUUUAAGUUGGGAGGAAGGGCAGUAAGUUAAUACCUUGCUGUUUUGACGUUACCGACAGAAUAAGCACCGGCUAACUCUGUGCCAGCAGCCGCGGUAAUACAGAGGGUGCAAGCGUUGAUCGGAAUAGCAUGGGCGUUGAAGCGCGCGUGAGUGGUUCGUUAAGUUGGAUGUGAAAGCCCCGGGCUCAACCUGGGAACUGCAUCCAAAACUGGCGAGCUAGAGUAUGGUAGAGGGUGGUGGAAUUUCCUGUGUAGCGGUGAAAUGCGUAGAUAUAGGAAGGAACACCAGUGGCGAAGCGACCACCUGGACUGAUACUGACACUGAGGUGCGAAAGCGUGGGGAGCAAACAGGAUUAG
rnacentral:rRNA from 1 species